UACUAUACAUGCUAUUUUAUAUCAUAAAAAAAUUUUAGUUAGCAGUGUUGUAAAUAUCUUUCCAUGUCAAUAAAUAGACCUAUACAUCAAACCUUUUAAAACCUAUUGAGAGUUACAAUGUAUGGAAAUUUUAUUCUAUUCCCUACUGUUAGCCAGUCAGAACAUCUAAAAUUUUUCAUUAUUAUAAUCAGUAUUGAAAUGAUUAUGCAUAAAUAAUUGUGCAUAUUUCUGUUAGGGAUUUUUUUUGGAAUAGGUUUUUAGAAGUGCAAUUUUUGGGUCAAGAGGAGUGUUGGUAGAUAGUUUGCCCAAUAGCAGAAUCACCCUGUGUUUAAAUGCUGGUCUAUUUCUCUUCCUUUCCAUUAGUCCAGAACCUCCUCCAAGGUGGAAACAUUGUCUUGUCAGUUUCUAUGCCCCAAGACCACACUUGGAGUAUUACCCCCUUAUGUCAUAGUCAAGUGUGUCAUAGAUUCAUGACAUUUACCUAAGUGUCCUUUUCUAAAAAUAAGGAACCCCAAAACAGGUCUUCAGGAUCAUCAGCCUCAGACAAACUUAGUUCCAGUGUUUUCAAGAAAAUCAGCCUAACAGCAAGAGAAGCAUGGUGUUUGAACCUAUUUGUUGAAUGGAAUAUGUAGUAUUAUGAAGUCUGCAUUUAUGGGCUGUGCCACUAAUUUGGGACAGGCAUCAGAUCCCUGUGGAAAAUGGGGUCAAAGGUCACCACCAGAUUCUCCCUCACUUCCUCACUGGUGUGGAAGGGUUCAGAGGAGGGAGCACAGUUAGAAGAACCCUGGACCAAGGAAAAUUUCUUCCUUUCCUUCACUUGAAGCUGUCAGCAGGAUAAACUUCCCCUGGACAUUUGCUCUGAAGACUCUGCAGCUUUGAGAUCUUGGGACAUAGGACACAAAAUCGACAGAAGGGAGAAGUGCAUCAAGCAAGGCACAACAACAAAAUAGGACCUAUCAACAAAGAAGUCCAAAAAUUUCACGAUAUGACGAGAGAUUCACAAAGCUUCUAUUUCAGGGAACACAGGAAUUGCCUUGGUGACAUGACACCAGAAGCCAUUAAACAGAGGAGUUCCUAACUUGCUCAGGUUCUGCUGUUCAGUCCCACAAGGAAACAGUUUUGAAAGAAUGCAUCAUCAAUGGCUGUCUUUCAUUAAUCCCCUAAGGGGCAAAUUAGUCCCGAUCAUUAAAGAUCUGAAGAUCUGCCUUCCACACAGACACACGGGAGACUGGAGGAAAUGAGGACAAAACACACCCUUCCACAUUUCAGGACUGAUGAAGGGGCUGGCUUUAUACCCACCUUUCUCAGGUGCAGAAAGAUUUGGGUCACUGCGUGGCAAGGCCCCAUCUCCAAUAUGAUUAAACAGCAGCCUCUGGAAAGGUAUAAGAGUCUAUUUUUAUGGUGCAAUUUGCUGUCACGUGAGACCUUCUAGAAAAUGAGAUGAUUGUCUCAUUACUGAAACUUUUUGUUCAAAAUAAUUUUUACAUGGUAUAUGAUGAGCCUACGAACCAAGAAUUCAAUUAUAUUUAAGGAAAAAAGGGGAGAAGAACUUUAAGUUUAAAAAGUUUGUAUUCAAUUUUAAAUGUAAAUGGUAAAUACAUUUUCAUAAUAAAAUGGAGGGAAAAACAGUAAGGAGCACUACAGCUAUGGUGUUCUUUAUAAAUACAAAUGCUAGACUGGCAAUAUGAAAUGCAAAUAAGAAUGAAAAAAGAAUUAUUAGCUCAAAAAAUCUCUAGUGAAUGGACAUGUUUUCAGUCCUAGGUUUAAAACACGGGAAAUGGACAAUAUUCUACAAUUUUUAACCCACAAAAAUGUCACUUUUACAUGGUUCUACCUAAUAUAGUAAAAAAAAAAAAAAAAAAAAAAAAGAAAGAAAAAGUGCGAGUCCUUAAAAGGAGAUGCACCACAUCAAUGUGUAGCAUUGAGCUUUUGGUUACUACACACUGCUUCACAUUUUACCAAAAGUGGAAAAGUCGGAGGCUAAUCAAAGAAGGCUUUCAGAGUCCCCCAUGCUGGCAACACGCACUCCUGGAGCCGAUGGAACAGAGUGUGAAAUUCCCUCGCAACACCAAGUGACAAAGGGAAAUAAAACUGGGGAGCUAGUUCAGCCAAACGCACUCAGAGAGAAUUUCUGCGAGACAUCAGUGUUGUGCAGAUGAGGUAUCCUGGGGCUUUCGGGAAGAUUAUACAAUCAGCAAAGAUAAACCAAUCAAGCCACAUCCCACUCGCUCUCAUCCAUUUCCAGAUGCAGUUACAGACUUCUGCCAGGAUGGUGUAGAAAAACAGAAAAAUUAGCUGGAACAUAAAUAAGUAUAGUUCUCUACUCCUAAGUUAUUCCCAAAGCAUUGGUAAAACCCAGGAUUACCCAACAAUCUUCACCUUUGGAACCACCCUUCACGGCCCUUGAAGUGCCCGGAGGGCCAGGCCUUUGGCCCUGCCCUCACUGGGACCAAGAGGGACCACUUCAAAACCAAGGCCAGGCAGGACGUGAGGGCCACAGUGCUUUGCUCCCGAGGCGUACAGGGAAAGCCUGGGCACUCAACUGCUUCUCCCUCAAUGUAGUACAGAAGAAUGGCAAAGGUGAACAGAAAUUGGCCCUGCACUCCUGGGUACCUAGUCUGAAGCUUCUCAAACUAGGUAGAGGUCAAAAGAGAGGCUGCUGGAUAGAUCAUGCUUCUCUGAACAGUCCUUUGCUAAUGUAAAAAGCUGCUCCAAAUUUCUGCUAUGCACACAUGCAAACACAGACACUCCAACUCAUCCACCUAAUUACCCCUUGUAACGUUUAAAUAGCAGCAGUGAACUACAGGGUCAGGUCAAGGAGGGUGAGAUCAUUUCCCAUUUUCUGCUCAGCUUUACUGCUCAAGCAACAACCCUUGUAUCUGUAUAGGAAAUAUGGCUCCAACAGAAAUUGCGAGCAAUGGGCAUGGGACAGAGGUUCACUCUUCACUCAGGAAGACUUGUUAUCUAACACAGCCCAUCCGGUUGCCUGUGGCAGGUACGGCGUUUCUCUGCAGAGACAUGUAAGCAAUUCCAGGCAUUUGCUUGUUUUCUAAGUAUCUCCGUCCCACAAGGACUACCUGAGAAGUUUCCCCAGGUGUUGGAUAGAUGGCACUGCAUGGUCUCUCUCUUGGAGACAGGCAAGAGUUUUCUCUGGAAUGUUUGUGUUUGUCAGACAGCAAAGGGGAAGCUGGGAAGAGAAGAAAGGAAGGAUCAUCAGGGAGUGGAGCUGGAACAGUCUGGAGGACAGGGCUUGUAUGUGGGGGCAGCAGGUUCUGCGGGCACCCUCAGUCUACCCCACAUCCUGGCACUGACCUCUGGCACUCGAUGGGGCAGAACUUGUCACGUUAGGCGAAGCAGAGUGAGUAGAACUCAAGCUUGAGGUAGAUGGACUUGGCUGGAAAUACAUGGGAGCUGUUAUCACACACUGCUUGGAGGCUUCGGACAACACUGACAUAUUUAAAACAAAAUCACUGCCCUUUUUUUUUUUCAAGUAGCCAAAAAAAAAAAAAAAAGACAAAAAGGAAAAGUCAUUUAGAAA